rnacentral:rRNA from 1 species
UACGUAGGGUGCAAGCGUUGUCCGGAAUUAUUGGGCGUAAAGAGCUCGUAGGCGGUUUGUCGCGUCUGCUGUGAAAACCCGAGGCUCAACCUCGGGCCUGCAGUGGGUACGGGCAGACUAGAGUGCGGUAGGGGAGAUUGGAAUUCCUGGUGUAGCGGUGGAAUGCGCAGGAUAUCAGGAGGAACACCAAUGGCGAAGGCAGAUCUCUGGGCCGUAACUGACGCUGAGGAGCGAAAGCAUGGGGAGCGAACAGGA